GAUGAACGCUGGCGGCGUGCUUAACACAUGCAAGUCGAACGGAAAGGCCCUGCUCUUGUGGCGUGCGCGAGUGGCGAACGGGUGAGUAUCACGUGAGUAACCUGCCCUUGACUGUGGGAUAACUCUAGGAAACUGUGGCUAAUACCGGAUAGGAGCUCAUGCUGCCUGGUGGGGGCUGGCAAGUUACGGCGGUGGGGGAGGGACUCUCGGCUUAUGAGCUUGUUGGUGGGGGAGGGGCCUACCAAGGCUUUGACGGGUAGCCGGCCGGAGGAGGGGACCGGCCACCACAGUGCGGAGAUAAGGCCCAGAAGCCUACGAGAGGAAGCAGUAGUGAAUAUUGCACAGUGGGCGGAGGCAGGAUGAAGCAGCGCCGCGUGGGGGAGGACGGCCGUCGAGGUGUAGACAGCUUUCGCCUGUGACGAAGAAGGAGUGACGGUAAUGGGUAAAGAAGCACCGGCUAACUACGUG
rnacentral:rRNA from 1 species